AAUUCGGUUUAUACCGAAUUAUUGUCCUGGUAGAUAGCUUUCACCUGACCACAGUGUCCUCGAAGAAAAAAAGCAGUCGCGCGAGUAACUUGCAAAAUGGUGCAGCUUGGAUGUUUGUGUAGUAAAGGCGUAAUACCUACCUGUUGAUGCAUGUAGCUUGGAUUACUCUACUUCUUGGAUUACUUCGAGGAUGCGUAGAGGAUAUGAAGCUCGAUUUUGUUCUCCUUUCUUUUCGAAUAUUCCUUAUAUAUCCAUACCAUAUUUUUAUCUUACAUAUUUAAAGAAUUAUAGCGGAAAAUACCUUGCACAAAAACAGCUUCGUGAUGGUGUCGAAAGAUAUAAAAAAAAAUGUAUUCUGCUUUUAAUUAUUUUAUUAGAUGCGCAAAGAGUUGUCCAAUAGUUUCCAAAAAUGUAUCUAUUCUUAUGAUAACUUUCUGAACAUUGCUGCGUUAAGGAAAUAACUCCUUGAACAUGUAAUAAAAUCAUUUUCAAAGCAGAAUAUAUUUCUUUUGAUAAAUCCAUGGUGUAUAAGAUCAUACAUAAAUUUACUAUAUCUUACAACUCUAUUCUACUUUCUAGCAUAAGAUUAUAUCGAGGUAUUCUUUUAGUUCAAUUAUUAAUUUAUUUACUUAUAUUAUUUUAUUUAAUAAUUUUUCGAGGUCGAUAUUUCAGAAUGUGAGAUACCAUUGACUAAGAAUAGGAUUGCUGUGUACUCGUCUAUAUUCCUGUACCGAGUCAGUGAUUUCCGUUACUUCGAGUUUCUAAUUGGAACCGAUAGAUGGUAGCACACAUCUAGAAAGGGAUCGUACUACUGUGCGACAAGGACAGAUAUACUGGUUGCAGACAAAGGGCGCAACGAACACAAAUAUAGAGUUUAGCGACGAUAACAUUUCGAGACACAUGAAUCGAAGAAAUUUUCAUUCAUAAAAGAUAUUAGUUAAGAGGAUCUAUUUGUAAAUUGUUUGUAAUUGUAUCUUUUGAACUGGACUGACUUUCUUCCUUUCUAUUUUAUAUCAUCAUAUGCAAUCAUACAGCUUCCAGUCUUCUUAACAUAGAACAUAUUAAUUUUACUUUGAUAAACAAAAUUACGGUUUCUGUGUACUUAGAUUUUCUGUAAAUACAUCUAUAGACUACAAGUUGUACAGUAAACGUUGCACAGGCAGAUCUGUAAUCUGUAGAAUCGCUAUUGAUUCGCAAACCAAUAAUAAUCAUUACUUGUAUC